CAGCAGCCGCGGGAAUACGGAGGGGGCUAGCGUUGUUCGGAAUUACUGGGCGUAAAGCGCACGUAGGCGGACUGGAAAGUCAGAGGUGAAAUUCCAGGGCUCAACCUUGGAACUGCCUUUGAAACUAUCAGUCUGGAGUUCGAGAGAGGUGAGUGGAAUUCCGAGUGUAGAGGUGAAAUUCGUAGAUAUUCGGAGGAACACCAGUGGCGAAGGCGGCUCACUGGCUCGAUACUGACGCUGAGGUGCGAAAGCGUGGGGAGCAAACAGGAUUAGAUACCCCAGUAGUCCCUGUCUCUUAUAC
rnacentral:rRNA from 1 species